rnacentral:rRNA from 1 species
CAGGCGCUUGCUAAUACAUGCAAGUCGAGCGGACAGAAGGGAGCUUGCUCCCGGAUGUUAGCGGCGGACGGGUGAGUAACACGUGGGUAACCUGCCUGUAAGACUGGGAUAACUCCGGGAAACCGGAGCUAAUACCGGAUAGUUCCUUGAACCGCAUGGUUCAAGGAUGAAAGACGGUUUCGGCUGUCACUUACAGAUGGACCCGCGGCGCAUUAGCUAGUUGGUGGGGUAAUGGCUCACCAAGGCAACGAUGCGUAGCCGACCUGAGAGGGUGAUCGGCCACACUGGGACUGAGACACGGCCCAGACUCCUACGGGAGGCAGCAGUAGGGAAUCUUCCGCAAUGGACGAAAGUCUGACGGAGCAACGCCGCGUGAGUGAUGAAGGUUUUCGGAUCGUAAAGCUCUGUUGUUAGGGAAGAACAAGUGCGAGAGUAACUGCUCGCACCUUGACGGUACCUAACCAGAAAGCCACGGCUAACUACUUGCCAGCAGCCGCCGUAAUACGUAGGUGGCGAGUGUUGACCGGAAUUAUUGUUCGGUAAAGGUAACGCAGGCGA